GACCUCGGAUCAGGUAGGGAUACCCGCUGAACUUAAGCAUAUCAAUAAGCGGAGGAAAAGAAACCAACAGGGAUUGCCCUAGUAACGGCGAGUGAAGCGGCAACAGCUCAAAUUUGAAAUCUGGCUCUUUUAGAGUCCGAGUUGUAAUUUGCAGAGGGCGCUUUGGCUUUGGCAGCGGUCCAAGUUCCUUGGAACAGGACGUCACAGAGGGUGAGAAUCCCGUACGUGGUCGCUGGCUAUUGCCGUGUAAAGCCCCUUCGACGAGUCGAGUUGUUUGGGAAUGCAGCUCUAAAUGGGAGGUACAUUUCUUCUAAAGCUAAAUAUUGGCCAGAGACCGAUAGCGCACAAGUAGAGUGAUCGAAAGAUGAAAAGCACUUUGGAAAGAGAGUCAAACAGCACGUGAAAUUGUUGAAAGGGAA
rnacentral:rRNA from 1 species